rnacentral:rRNA from 1 species
UUAGAGUUUGAUCCUGGCUCAGGAUGAACGCUAGCGGGAGGCUUAACACAUGCAAGUCGAGGGGCAUCACGGAGUAGCAAUAUUUUGGUGGCGACCGGCGCACGGGUGAGUAACGCGUAUGUAACCUACCCCCAACAGGGGAAUAACCCGGAGAAAUUCGGACUAAUACCGCAUAACGACGGACUUGGGCAUCCAAGACCGUCCGAAGCAGCGAUGCGGUUGGGGAUGGGCAUGCGUAACAUUAGCUAGUUGGUAGGGUAACGGCCUACCAAGGCUACGAUGUUUAGGGGACCUGAGAGGGUGGCCCCCCACACUGGUACUGGGACACGGACCAGACUCCUACGGGAGGCAGCAGUGAGGAAUAUUGGUCAAUGGGCGGAAGCCUGAACCAGCCAUCCCGCGUGGAGGAAGACGGCCCUAUGGGUUGUAAACUUCUUUUCAAGGGGAAGAAAGUUCGCGACGAGUCGCGAUUUGCCGGUACCUUUGGAAUAAGCAUCGGCUAACUCCGUGCCAGCAGCCGCGGUAAUACGGAGGAUGCGAGCGUUAUCCGGAUUUAUUGGGUUUAAAGGGUGCGUAGGCCGGCCGAUAAGUCAGCGGUGAAAUACCACAGCUUAACUGUGGAACUGCCGUUGAUACUGUUGGUCUUGAAUAUGGUCAAGGCAGGCGGAAUGUGUAAUGUAGCGGUGAAAUGCUUAGAUAUUACACAGAACACCGAUUGCGAAGGCAGCUUGCUGGGCCAUUAUUGACGCUGAGGCACGAAAGCGUGGGGAUCGAACAGGAUUAGAUACCCUGGUAGUCCACGCCGUAAACGAUGAUCACUCGCUGUUGUUAGAUAUACAGUUCAGCCGCUAAGGGAAAGCAUUAACUGAUCCACCUGGGGAGUACGGGCGCAAGGCUGAAACUCAAAGGAAUUGACGGGGGGCCGCACAAGCGGAGGGAACAUGUGGAUUAAUUGGAUGAUACGCGAGGAACAUUACUUGGGCUUAAAUGUAGAGUGCAUGGGGGGGAAACCCUCCUUUCCUUCGGGUCUCUUUACAAGGUGAUGCAUGGUUGUCGUCAGCUCGUGCCGGGAGGUGUCGGGUUGAGUCCCAUAACGAGCGCAACCCUUCUCGUUAGUUGCCAGCGGGUAAUGCCGGGGACUCUAGCGAAACUGCCACCGUAAGGUGAGAGGAAGGUGGGGAUGACGUCAAAUCAGCACGGCCCUUACGUCCAGGGCCACACACGUGUUACAAUGGCCGGUACAGAGGGCAGCUACCAUGUGAAUGGACGCUAAUCUCCAAAGCCGGUCUCAGUUCGGAUCGGAGUCUGCAACUCGACUCCGUGAAGCUGGAUUCGCUAGUAAUCGCGCAUCAGCCAUGGCGCG